AGCAGCCGCGGUAAUUCCAGCUCCAAUAGCGUAUAUUAAAGUUGUUGCAGUUAAAAGCUCGUAGUUGAAUUUCGGGAUCAGUUGGUCGGUCGUGCCUCGGUACGUACUGGUCAAAUUGAUUCCUACCUUCUGACGAACCACGAUGUCAUUAAUUUGGUGUCGCGGGAAAUCAGGACUGUUACUUUGAAAAAUUAGAGUGUUUAAAGCAGGCUCGCGCUUGAAUACAUUAGCAUGGAAUAAUGAAAUAGGACGUUUGAUUCUAUUUUGUUGGUUUCUAGGAUCGACGUAAUGAUUAAUAGGGAUAGUUGGGGGCAUUAGUAUUCAAUUGUCAGAGGUGAAAUUCUUGGAUUUAUUGAAGACUAACUACUGCGAAAGCAUUUGCCAAGGAUGUUUUCAUUAAUCAAGAACGAAAGUUAGGGAUCGAAGACGAUCAGAUACCGUCGUAGUCUUAACCAUAAACUAUGCCGACUAGGGAUCGGAUGAUGUUAAUUUUUAAUGACUCAUUCGGCGCCUUACGGGA
rnacentral:misc_RNA from 1 species